AGCUCCGUGAUUAAUAGCCUAACGUGGGCAAUAUACGCUAUUCCGAUCUCUAGAAUAAAUGAGCAGACGACUUUGGGAGAAGGAAUGAGAGCU